rnacentral:rRNA from 1 species
ACGGCUCAGUAACACGUCGGUAACCUACCCUCGGGAGGGGGAUAACCCCGGGAAACUGGGGCUAAUUCCCCAUAGGCCUGAGGUACUGGAAGGUCCUCAGGCCGAAAGGGACUUAUGUCCGCCCGAGGAUGGGCCGGCGGCCGAUUAGGUAGUUGGUGGGGUAAUGGCCCACCAAGCCGAAGAUCGGUACGGGCUGUGAGAGCAGGAGCCCGGAGAUGGACACUGAGACACGGGUCCAGGCCCUACGGGGCGCAGCAGGCGCGAAACCUCCGCAAUGCGGGAAACCGCGACGGGGGGACCCCGAGUGCCGUGGCAACGCCACGGCUUUUCCGGAGUGUAAAAAGCUCCGGGAAUAAGGGCUGGGCAAGGCCGGUGGCAGCCGCCGCGGUAAUACCGGCGGCCCGAGUGGUGGCCGCUAUUAUUGGGCCUAAAGCGUCCGUAGCCGGGCCCGUAAGUCCCUGGCGAAAUCCCACGGCUCAACCGUGGGGCUUGCUGGGGAUACUGCGGGUCUUGGGACCGGGAGAGGCGGGGGGUACCCCUGGGGUAGGGGUGAAAUCCUAUAAUCCCAGGGGGACCGCCAGUGGCGAAGGCGCCCCGCUGGAACGGGUCCGACGGUGAGGGACGAAGGCCAGGGGAGCAAACCGGAUUAGAUACCCGGGUAGUCCUGGCUGUAAAGGAUGCGGGCUGGGUGUCGGGUGAGCCUCGAGCUCGCCCGGUGCCGUAGGGAAGCCGUUAAGCCCGCCGCCUGGGGAGUACGGCCGCAAGGCUGAAACUUAAAGGAAUUGGCGGGGGAG